AAAGUACGGAGGCGCGGUCGAGGAAGAAUGCUCAGAGGUCGCCAUUUUGGAUCUCGAAACCGAUUAGGGUAUAGAGAAACCUUAGCCAGCUUUGAUACCAAUUGAAGGACCGAAAUAGGUGACCAGAGGGGGGGGAUGGGAUCCAAUUCAAAAACUCUCCAAGAAAUUCAAUCUAAGUCCCAAAGUAGCCUUCAACGCUCUCUUCUAGCUAUUGUCAAGAUCACAUAGUCACAGCGGACCUACUAACCUUAGGAACAAUGCUAGGAAGGCUCAGAAGCAACACGGAAGUAAACCCAAAAGAUUGAGGCAAAACAGAGCUCAAAACACCUUCCAGGUAUCGAAACUUCUGACCAGUUAUCGGAACUUCCGGAAGUGGG
rnacentral:lncRNA from 1 species